GCCGGCGUAGCUCAGCGGUUAGAGCGUUGGAAUCAUAAUCCAUUGGUCGGGGGUUCGAAUCCCUCCGCCGGCA
rnacentral:tRNA from 1 species